rnacentral:SRP_RNA from 1 species
UGGCCGGGCAUGAGCACUGGCCGCAGCAUUUGGAAGAGGCUCAGCGGUCCCUGCGGUUGUUUGCUACCGGACGGCGGCUGAACGAGGCCGGAAACGGCGCAAAGUUCAGCCACUCUGAUCUGAUCCGGGAUCGCUAUGUG